rnacentral:lncRNA from 1 species
AGGCCCGGCCCCAAGCGCGAGGAGCGGGGCGGGGCGAGCGCGCGUGCUCCCGGAUCCUCGGCAGUGUCCGGCGCCCCCUUCCCUUCGCCAGGCCCGUUUGGCGCCUUCACUCGGGAAGACGUCGGCCAGGACUUUGCGCUUUGGAGACGUCUUACUUCGGCAGCACUCGCACACUGCGAGAUCCGACACGGGCAGCGGGGACCUAGGGAGCCGGGGACGCUGCCUGUCGGGUACGGUUCCGCAGCUACCGCAGCCCCGUGGGCCAUGGUUAGUCUCCCCCCGACACCGCUCCCUCUAGAGCUCCGGGCUUCGGAAGCGGCUGCACGUGGGCAUGGCUGGAGAGGUUCCGCUGGCUUGGGGCAGUCGCCGGGAUUCCGACUGGUUGGUGUGGGGUGUGGCCUGUGCUAUCCAGCUCCCAGCUGAUCCUAAUGUGCGGCACAGCGGAAACCACCGGUCCACAUCAGUGCUUCUCACUUAAAGGGGCUUACGAAUCGUCGGGGGUGGGGGAGCUGGACUUGGAAUUUUUUAAGAGAUGAGGUCUCACUCUGUCACCCAGGCUGGAGUGCAGUGGCGCGAUUACGGCUCACUGCAGACUAGACCUCCUGGGCUCAACUUUAAUGUAAAUUGGGAUUGGGUAGGUCUGUAAGGGGACCCGAGCUCCCCUCCCAUGUUGUUGCCAAGCUCCUGAGCUCGGCCUGGUGGCGGGUGGGGGCCGGGAGGAGAAGGACACGUUAGUAAGGAAGCUGCAGGACGACUCCAGGGGCCUCCCACCUGGUCUCCACCCCCCUCCCCCACCCAUUCUUGACGCUGCAUCCAUGAUUGUUCUAAACAACCUAAAGCAGAAAUCUUAGAGCAAAUAACGAAAACUGGCAGAAGGCCAUUUGAUAUCUCCUUAAAAAAUUCAUGUAAAAAAUUACAUAAACGUUUCAAAGCAGUAUGUAUAAAUUUGAAAUACUGGAAAUGAACGCAGACCAUUAAAGGAAUAGUUAAUUAUUUGA